AUGCGGAUUCGCGAACCUCGGUGGACGUCUUUGAACCCUUCAUGCCUCCCUUACAAGGAGGGGGUCGCUGGUUCGAACCCAGCAUCGCCUA
rnacentral:tRNA from 1 species